GAAACGACUCUCGGCAACGGAUAUCUCGGCUCUCGCAUCGAUGAAGAACGUAGCAAAAUGCGAUACCUGGUGUGAAUUGCAGAAUCCCGCGAACCAUCGAGUUUUUGAACGCAAGUUGCGCCCGAGGCCUCCUGGCCGAGGGCACGUCUGCCUGGGCGUCACGCC
rnacentral:rRNA from 1 species